GUAGGGGGCUGUGUGAGCGGUGAGGAGGUGUGAGCGGUGAGGAGGUGUGAGCGGUGAGGUGGUGUGUGUGUGGUGUACAGAGGGUAUGUAGGGGGCUGUGU